rnacentral:rRNA from 1 species
CAGCCGCCACGGGAAUACCGAGGAUGCAAGCGUUAUCCGGAAUGAUUGGGCGUAAAGCGUCUGUAGGUGGCUUUUCAAGUCCGCCGUCAAAUCCCAGGGCUCAACAAUAGACAGGCGGUGGAAACUACCAAGCUUGAGUACAGUAGGGGCAGAGGGAAUUUCCAGUGGAGCGGUGAAAUGCGUAGAGAUGUGGAGGAGCACCAGUGGCGAAGGCGACUCUCUGGUCUGUAACUGACGCUGAGGAGCGAAAGCGUGGGGAGCGAACAGGAUUAGAUACCCCUGUAGUCCCUGUCUCUUAUAC